GAUGAACGCUGGCGGCGUGCCUAAUACAUGCAAGUCGAGCGAACGGACUAGAAGCUUGCUUCUCUGAUGUUAGCGGCGGACGGGUGAGUAACACGUGGAUAACCUACCUAUAGGACUGGGAUAACUUCGGGAAACCGUAGCUAAUACCGGAUAAUAUUUUGAACCGCAUGGUUCAAAAGUGAAAGACGGUCUUGCUGUCACUUAUAGAUGGAUCCGCGCUGCAUUAGCUAGUUGGUAAGGUAACGGCUUACCAAGGCAACGAUGCAUAGCCGACCUGAGAGGGUGAUCGGCCACACUGGAACUGAGACACGGUCCAGACUCCUACGGGAGGCAGCAGUAGGGAAUCUUCCGCAAUGGGCGAAAGCCUGACGGAGCAACGCCGCGUGAGUGAUGAAGGUCUUCGGAUCGUAAAACUCUGUUAUUAGGGAAGAACAUAUGUGUAAGUAACUGUGCACAUCUUGACGGUACCUAAUCAGAAAGCCACGGCUAACUACGUG
rnacentral:rRNA from 1 species